CUCCUUUCACCCUCCGCCUCUUUAUUUUCUUUUAAGGGAGUAAACUUUUGGCAGGUAGUCAAGUUUUCUCUCUGAACAGAGAGAAACAGUGUAGACCUCGGUUCUAGGUCCCCAUUCUGCCGCAGACCCUUCUGAAUUUUCUGAGGAACUUGUUAACACUGACCUUUUGAGAGAAUUCCAGCCCUUGUGAAGUGGGGACUUCAUGUUGAACAUGAGCAUUGUUAUGAUCAGUGAGAAUGUAAAGCUGGCCCGUGAAUAUGCCUUAUUGGGAAAUUAUGACUCUGCAAUGGUCUACUACCAGGGAGUUCUUGACCAAAUGAAUAAGUAUCUCUACUCUGUCAGAGAUACAUAUCUGCAACAGAAAUGGCAACAGGUUUGGCAAGAGAUAAGUGUGGAAGCUAAGCAUGUAAAAGAUAUAAUGAAAACACUAGAGAGUUUUAAACUAGACAGUACGCCACUGAAAGCUUCACAACAGGAAUUACCAGCUCAUGAGGCAGAAGUCUGGUCUUUGCCAGUGCCUGCUGAACGUAGACCUUCGCCAGGACCUAGAAAACGUCAGUCUGUUCCGUGCAGUGAUUGCAGAGGUCAUAACAAUCGUGUGAGUGCAGCUGUCAGAGGCCCUCACCGUCCAUCCUCUCGAAAUCCCAAUGAUAAAGGGAAGGCGGUUCGCGGCCGGGAAAAAAAGGAUCAGCAAAGUAAAGGAAAAGAGGAAAAGAACAAAUGUGCAUCGGAGAUUUCAGAGGCUGAGCCAAAGAAAUUUGAUAGUACUGGAUAUGAUAAAGAUUUAGUAGAAGCUUUGGAAAGAGAUAUAAUUUCUCAGAAUCCCAACAUUCGAUGGGAUGACAUUGCUGAUUUAGUAGAAGCCAAAAAGCUGCUUAAGGAAGCUGUAGUUUUACCCAUGUGGAUGCCGGAGUUUUUUAAGGGAAUUAGAAGACCAUGGAAGGGUGUUCUGAUGGUUGGUCCUCCUGGUACUGGAAAGACCCUCCUGGCAAAAGCUGUAGCGACUGAAUGCAAGACUACUUUUUUCAAUGUUUCUUCUUCCACACUUACCUCAAAAUACAGAGGAGAAUCUGAGAAACUUGUUCGUCUGCUGUUUGAAAUGGCUCGAUUUUAUGCCCCAACAACUAUAUUUAUUGAUGAGAUAGACUCUAUCUGUAGUCGCAGGGGAACUUCAGAGGAGCAUGAAGCUAGCCGACGUGUGAAGGCAGAGCUGCUAGUUCAGAUGGAUGGUGUUGGAGGGGCUGCUGAAAACGAUGAUCCUUCCAAAAUGGUCAUGGUACUUGCUGCUACUAAUUUUCCUUGGGAUAUUGAUGAAGCCCUAAGACGGAGACUAGAAAAGAGAAUUUAUAUUCCUUUACCAUCCGCAAAAGGUAGAGAGGAACUCCUAAGAAUAAAUCUACAAGAGCUGGAAUUGGCUGAUGACGUUGACCUUGCAAAUAUAGCUGAGAAAAUGGAGGGUUACUCGGGUGCAGACAUUACCAACGUAUGCAGAUCCAUUUCUUGCCUUGACUCCUAAUACAGCUCUGCAAACACUUGUCAGGACAGCUGAAAGGACAAUAUGCAGGGAUGAAUGCGAGUAGCCUGCAUGCAAAACUGCCACCAAAGGCUCUAUCAGCAGGGUCGCUUCAGGCUGAACUAAGAGUUUGGAGCCUCAGUACUAUUUCCUCGACAAACCUUACACAGUGUCUGGGAAAAGAACGAGAUGCAUCCCUGAUGGCUAUGAGAAGGCGCAUUGAAGGCUUGACACCAGAAGAAAUAAGAAAUCUGUCCCGAGAUGAUAUGCACAUGCCGACAACUAUGGAAGACUUUGAAAUAGCUUUGAAGAAGGUUUCUAAA